rnacentral:rRNA from 1 species
AGAUUGAACGCUGGCGGCAUGCCUAACACAUGCAAGUCGAGGCGGCAGCGCGGGGGCGACCCUGGCGGCGAGCGGCGGACGGGUGAGUAAGGCAUCGGAAUCUGCCCGUGAUGUGGGGGAUAACGUAGGGAAACUUACGCUAAUACCGCAUAGUGCCCGUACGGGGUAAAGCGGGGGAUCGUAAGACCUCGCGCUGGUGGAUGAGCCUACGUCCGAUUAGGUUAGUUGGUGGGUAAAGGCCUACCAAGGCUACGAUCGGUAGCUGGGUCUGAGAGGACGACCAGCCACACUGGGACUGAGACACGGCCCAGACUCCUACGGGAGGCAGC